ACGCUCGACACCUACGGGGGGCAGCAGUGGGGGAAUAUUGCACAAUGGGGGAAACCCUGAUGCAGCGACGCCGCGUGGAGGAAGAAGGUCUUCGGAUUGUAAACUCCUGUUGUUGGGGAAAAAGAGGAUGGUACCCAACAAGGAAGUGACGGCUAACUACGUGCCAGCAGCCGCGGUAAUCUGAGCGGGCUGGCAAGGC
rnacentral:rRNA from 1 species